rnacentral:lncRNA from 1 species
GAGAAAUUUGAUCAAUUGGUAAGAUAGCUUGUUGGAGAAGUUACUCAAGAUACCCAGUCAAACUAGGGUUUCCAAGGCAAAUCAUCUUCAAACUCUUGAAGAAUGCUUGAUCAAAAUAACAUGUAGAGAUCAUUGGGACUCAUAUAUUAUGCUUAUAACCAUUUGUGGGUCAAUCCAUGGUUGUGUUCUUUGCCAUGAGGGUCUCAAACUCUAGGUAUGAACUUGAUAAAUCAAUGGGAUCAUGCCCUACCUACAAAAGAGUUAGGCAAAUGCAAAAGACAUAUUUUUGGUAUUUUGGUUAGUAAAAUGAUAAUAUAUAAGUAUUAUACAAUCACAUAGUGCUUGGUGAUCUCUC